UGGAGGAAACCCGGUGCCUGCCUGCAAGGUGCUCCCAGUUGAGUGCAGGAAGCAGAGCGAUACACAGGUGAUCAUGGCACAGGGUGGUUCGUGCUGAGACAGGACAUGCUGGAGCUCACUUCAGGGAAAGCGAUCCAUCUUGUGGGUAAGGAGCAGAUCCCCAGAGAGAGCACAUCUCGACGGAGGCCUGUGGGAGACUAGCCAGGCAAGGAGGGAGAUGCACAUUCCAGCCCCUAAGCAAUCCUGAGGCGGCAGCAGAGACAGUGGGAAAACUGGGGAGCCCAAAACUCUAGGGGAAACCACGUCUCAAGUUGGAGGAGCUGUGGCCCCAAGAAGGUGGAAAAGAGGCUGGAGUUCAUGGCAGUGGAGGGAUUUGACGACAGUGUGACUGAAUCUUGGGUGCCCCUCCAUGAGGUGAGAGUCCAGAAGCUGAAGGAGAUUCCGUGCAGCGGUGGCGGGACACCAGCACAGACCAGGGGAUGGAAGUCACGUGGUCCAGAGGUGGCACUGGAAGGAUGAUUAAGGUCCAACUGUCUGCAUCCCACGUCCACGUCCAUCUUCGCCAUGACACUGACUGUCUAGCACUGAAGUCACAUACACUCAGGAAAACUUGGCUUCACUAAUUACUACCCUGUGCUUUCUUACUGAGUCUUAGUUUUGUAAAAUUAUGAACAAUGGGAAUUGUACUACCUACUUCAUGGGAUUGCUAUGAAGAUCAAGCAAAAUUACCCUCCUGAACAUGCUGGCGAGGUGGUAGGUAAGUGUUAUGAGUUGAAUUGAAUCCCCCUAAAAGAUGUGUUGAAGUCCUAACCCUCAGUACCUUGGAAUGUGACCUUAUUUGGAAAUAAGGCCUUUACAGAGGUGAUCAAAUUAAAGUGAGGUCAUUAGAAUGGACCCAAAUCCUAUUGGGUCCCAUAUGACUGAUGGCCUCAUAAAAGGGGGAAUUUGGACACAGAGACCGACGUGCAGAGAGGGAAGGCGACAUGAAGAGACACAGGAAGGAGGUCAUGUGAAGACAGAGGAUUGGGGUGGUGCGUCUCCAAGCAGAGGAACACCUGGGGUCCCCAGCAUCUAGGAAGGGCACCGAGUGAUCCUUCCCAGCACCUCUAGAGGGAGCAGGGACCUGCUGACGCCUUGAUUUUGGACUUCUGGCCUCCAGAAGUGUAGGACAAUACAUUUCUGUUGUUCAGAGCCACUCAGUUUGUGGUCUUUGCUACAGCAGCCAACCACAGCAGAGCACCACUGACAUUAUCUUUCUUUCCUAGACCAUUCAUGCAACAAAUAUUUAAGCCAAGUCCUGGAAUUUGCUUAGAGUUCUAAUGGUGGCAGAAAUGCAGCUUGUCCUGGUCCUUAGGAAUGAACCACCAGGGCUGACAGCUGGGCAACCAAAGCUGAGACAGCGCCAGCCGUGGGCGCCGGGACCUCUAAAGUCCCACCCAUCCUGACAGCUCACGUGCUCCGUCCACCACGAAGCCAACCCGUGUGUCACCCCCACCAGACCCACGUUUGUUCAUCCUCCUCUUCUGUGACUUACCACAGGCUCCCCGUCCUAGGAGACCUUCAGUACUUUCCUUCCUCCCUUUUCCUGAACUCCUGUUUGCUGCUUGGCUUGACACCGUCUGCAGGCCCUCACCACACGGUGCUCCUCACUCUCUAGUCUCCAGCCAGCCAGCCAAGGCAGCGUCAGAUGGCGAGAGGCUGGGGUGGAGUCAGGCAGCUUCGAAUCCUCGCUGCUGAACCCGUGAGCCUGGGGAGGUAGGGGCUGGCUUCCUUACCUGGGAACCGUGGGCUGGUACUGCGAUGAAGCACUGAGGUGCAGAUUGCCUGUGUCUGUGAUUGCUUUUAACCACUUCCCUGUGUGUUGAAGUGCACACCACGCAAAAUUACUGAAAAGCAACUUAAGUUUUCAUCAUUGCUUUAUCAGGAAGGGGUUCUGGAUUACGAAUUAGAAGGGUGGCCUCAGAAGCAGCAUGUGGAAAAUGGACAGCUUAUGUCGGACCUGCUGGAAUUCAGCUGUUUCCUAAAGUCACACGAUGGACGAGAAGGUGUCAGUCCUCACGUUGCAGGUGUUCUAAUGAGGAGACUGAUGGUACGGAAACCAUGCAGCGAGAAUGCAUCUCGGUCCUAAAAAGUGCUGGAAGGAGACACGCAGGUUCCUCAUUUUUAAGAUGGGUAUAAUAAUGACAAAAACAGCUGUGAAGAAUAAAGAAAGUUCAUCAACAUAAAGCACUAAUAACAAUGUCUGGAAAGCACUGGAUCAACUGUGUUGAUGCAGCUGAGAGUCUGUGUAAGUGGAUGCUCUGACCCACGCUAGGACAGUCUGAGCAGAAGGACAAAGAGACCCAAGACCCAGAUAUUCUUCAUUUCAGCUGUCCAGUCUAGACCUGUCCACUCUCUGCCUUGCAGCCUUCUCACAGGUUCUGUGACUCCGAGGUAGACUUUCAAGAAAAUCCCGUUGCUUUUGUUGGCUGGAGUAGGUUUCUGCCACCUGCAGCUCAAGGACUGUGGUUGCCAUGGGUAUGGACCAGUCAAAGUCACUCCAGCUGGCUCUCAGGGCACGGGGUGCGUCUAGCUUUGAAGCAGAGUGAGUGUGCCCGUCCACAGGUCUGGCUGGAUUCCCUCGGAUGCAUCUUAUGCCCACUUCAUGCUUCUACUUGCUGUCCUAAGGGGUACAGUGCAAACGGCUUGACCUGGAGGCAGACCGAUGGGUUCAGGACCCAGCUCUCCUACUAAGUGCUGGUGGACGAUUUGCUUAACCGUCCUGUGAUUCAGCUUCUGCAUCUGCCAGACAGAAACAGGAAUGCCUCCCCUGCAGGGCAUGAAGGGGACUAGAGAGGUUGCAGGUAAGCCCGCAGAGAAGAAUGGGGUCCCCAGUUGCUUGUUGUACAGUUAUUCAGCAGACGUGAAGGCCAGUGAUGUGAUGAAGGCUCACGUGGGAUACUGGGAACCACACCGAGGCUGGGUUUGGAGACCUUUUUCCUGAGCCAGUGUGCACAACGGCCAAGUUCUGCUGGUGUCUUGGUUUUUAUUUUUAGCUUCUGUUUUAAAAAGUGGAUGAGUGCUGCUCAUUCUUCAAAAAGAAUACCAGUCAGAUGAUCCCCAACAUUUUGUUACGUUCUUUUAACGUCCUGAGCUUUGCUCACUUGUGCCUCACUGUUAAGGUCCUUUACUGGGGCGAGAAACUGUCAUGAACUCCUUCACUUUACAGUUUCAACUGGAGCUUUUCUGGGGGCCCAUGAAGUUCCUGAGAAUUUCCACAAGUAACUCAUAAAACUGUCUUUUUUUUUUU